CGAUAAACUAAAACAUCGAGGAAAGUAAAAUAAAAUAAACAUUAUGAAUAAUUGAUUCGAUCUACGACAUCAAACAUAACCGCCAAAACUACGCAUCAUCACGAACAAACACACCCUGAAUUCAAUGCCGCGUUCACAAAUGAAAAUGUGAACUAUUACAUAGAAACAACGACGAAAUACCGUUGGAAAUAGGACAAAAUACCGAACAAACCGUCGUAUGACUGUCACCCAGCGGGGGAUUUGAUUAUAAAUAAGCGUAGCAACAUAGAAUUAGGACACUUUUGUUUUAGAGACACUUAUUGUUUUAGACACCUUUGUUCGAGUUACACAAUCGCUUGCUAGACACUUAGUUAUUUGUUUGAUACACUUCUUGGUUUAGAUACUUUUGUUUGAUAGACUUCUUGUUUAAGAGACUUGUUUGUUUUAUACAGACUUAUUGUCAAUUAGUUUCUUUGUUCGAUCGUACGCGAUUAAUUUGUUAAAACCGAAUCGCGAAAAUCUUUUAAGUUAGUAAAAAUCGAGUUUAUAAAUUUGUAACCGUGUGCCGCAAGUUCAAUGUAUAUCGUGAUUAAAUUAAUAAAUAAACUAAAAUUAAAUCAAGACUUUAUUAAUAAUUACACAACGCGCUAACCGCGUCAGCGGAACCCAGGACCUUCAACAUUUUUGAGCAUAAUACUCAAGUUUCUACAAUUUUAUUUCUCAACUCUGAGUCGUUCGCUUGGAAUGGUUACACGGCGCGUGUUGGUAUCAUCUAAUUCUUCGUUACAUUGUCAAUGCUUAUUAUAACUACCUUUACUUAUCCCAAAACUGUAAGUAUGCAUAAAAGAAAACGCCGUAUUCCGUAAGUAUUCACUUGAAUUUGGUAGUAAAUUUUAAUUUUAUAACUGUAUUGGCUUCUGCGUACACCCCUUUAAUGUGAGUAAUGAACUUCUUUACUUUUAUCAAUUUCUUUACAACAUUCUCCCCUUUUUAGGUUAUGAUGGUUUACCUCAGUAUUUAUUACCUUUGGUGUUUUUGUACCCGUGAAUGGAGUGGUCUCAAAAAUUUUCCAUUGGGCAACUCUGGUCGUCAUACAUCAUGUUCUACGAAUAUAGCCGCAUAACUUGUAUUUGUACAUACACUUCCUUCUGCGAUGAUUAAGUGCUUGCAAGAUUCCAAUUAUCCACAAUAUUCAACAAGCAGUAUUAUACCACAUACCAUCGUUCUUCAUCGCCUCAUAGCAUUGUUCUGGCUAUAAUCUAUUUCGGUUAUGCGCUAGUUUUAAUUUGUUCAAAUGCACUGUUCGCGGGACCCCUUUCACUUCGAUCUUAACGUUUUGAUUUUGCAAAAUUCCUAAUACUUUAUGCGGACUGGAAUAUUAAUCGGAGAGCUUCUCUUUGUUAGGUUCUUUUAUUUAUCGUGAAGACGAUCCAGAUGACUGUGCGAAGGCUUGCUUCCUUGAGGAGACUUCUACCGGAAUCCUGGAUAUUCUUCUGUCACUGCUUUUCUGGUCAGAGCGAUCUUCUCUGUACACUCCCAGUACAUGGAGAGACUUCGUGAAAUGUGUCUUGACGUUAUUUUACUCAUUUGGUUAAUAUCUCCAUUUGAUUAUUGCCUCCAGUGUUUGAUUUGAUUUAUUUUCCGGUGUAGGUUUUGGUGAUUAUGAUUUUAAAUGGUGAAUACAGAGGUGUCUUCGUUAAAGGUUCCUUAUGCAGACUGUCCUG